rnacentral:rRNA from 1 species
CAACAGCUAGAGUUUGAUCCUGGCUCAGGAUGAACGUUGGCGGUGUGCCUAAUACAUGCAAGUCGAACGGAGUUAAUAGCAAUAUUGACUUAGUGGCGAACGGGUGAGUAACGCGUUGGUGAUCUGCCUUGAAGUGUGGAAUAACGCUCCGAAAGGAGCGCUAAUACCGCAUGUGCUCUCAAUUUUAGAAACUUGAGAGGAAAGGAUUUAUUCGCUUCGAGAGGAGCCUGCGUCCCAUCAGCUGGUUGGUAGGGUAAACGGCCUACCAAGGCAAUGGACGGGUAGGGGACCUGAGGAGGGUCGGCCCCCACAAUGGAACUGAAACACGGUCCAUACACCUACGGGUGGCAGCAGUAGGGAAUAUUAGAAAUGGACGAAAGUCUGAUCUAGCAACACCGCGUGUGCGAAGAAGGCCUUCGGGUCGUAAAGCACUUUUGGAAGGAAUAGGAAGGAAUGUACUUCCAGAAUAAGUCUCGGCUAAACUACGUGCC